AUUGAACGCUGGCGGCAGGCCUAACACAUGCAAGUCGAGCGGAUGAAGGGAGCUUGCUCCUGGAUUCAGCGGCGGACGGGUGAGUAAUGCCUAGGAAUCUGCCUGGUAGUGGGGGAUAACGUCCGGAAACGGGCGCUAAUACCGCAUACGUCCUGAGGGAGAAAGUGGGGGAUCUUCGGACCUCACGCUAUCAGAUGAGCCUAGGUCGGAUUAGCUAGUUGGUGGGGUAAAGGCCUACCAAGGCGACGAUCCGUAACUGGUCUGAGAGGAUGAUCAGUCACACUGGAGCUGAGACACGGUCCAGACUCCUACGGGAGGCAGCAGUGGGGAAUAUUGGACAAUGGGCGAAAGCCUGAUCCAGCCAUGCCGCGUGUGUGAAGAAGGUCUUCGGAUUGUAAAGCACUUUAAGUUGGGAGGAAGGGCAGUAAGUUAAUACCUUGCUGUUUUGACGUUGCCAACAGAAUAAGCACCGGCUAACUUCGUG
rnacentral:rRNA from 1 species